rnacentral:rRNA from 1 species
UACAGAGGGUGCAAGCGUUAAUCGGAAUUACUGGGCGUAAAGGGCGCGUAGGUGGAAUUAUAAGUUAGGUGUGAAACCUCUGGGCUUAACCUGGAGCUUGCAUUUAAUACUGUAGAUCUAGAGUAUUGUAGAGGUAAGUGGAAUUUCCGGUGUAGCGGUGAAAUGCGUAGAUAUCGGGAAGAACACCAGUGGCGAAGGCGACUUACUGGACAAAUACUGACACUGAGGCGCGAAAGCGUGGGAAGCAAACAGG